rnacentral:rRNA from 1 species
AUUGAACGCUGGCGGCAGGCCUAACACAUGCAAGUCGAACGAGUGGCGGACGGGUGAGUAAUGUCUGGGAAACUGCCUGAUUGAUGGGGAUAACUACUGGAAACGGUAGCUAAUACCGCCUACCAUCCGAUUUGCCCAGAUGGGAUUAGCUAGUUGUGGGGGUAACGGCUCACCAAGGCGACGAUCCCUAGCUGGUCUGAGAGGAUGACACGCCAAACUGGAACUGAGACACGGUCAAGUCUCCUACGUGAGGCAGCAGUGGGUAAUAUUGCACAAUGGGCGCAAGCCUGAUGCAGCUAUGCCGCGUGGAUGAAGAAGGCCUUCGGGUUGUAAAGUAAUUUCAGCGGGGAGGCGUUACCCGCAGAAGAAGCACCGGCUAACUCCGUGCCAGCAGCCGCGGUAAUUC